rnacentral:rRNA from 1 species
AGUCGAGGGGUAUAGUUAGCUUGCUAACUUGAGACCGGCGCACGGGUGCGUAACGCGUAUGCAAUCUACCUUUCACAAAGGGAUAGCCCAGAGAAAUUUGGAUUAAUACCUUAUAGUAUAUAUGAAUGGCAUCAUUUAUAUAUUAAAGAUUUAUCGGUGAAAGAUGAGCAUGCGUCCCAUUAGCUAGUUGGUAAGGUAACGGCUUACCAAGGCAACGAUGGGUAGGGAUCCUGAGAGGGAGAUCCCCCACACUGGUACUGAGACACGGACCAGACUCCUACGGGAGGCAGCAGUGAGGAAUAUUGGACAAUGGGCGCAAGCCUGAUCCAGCCAUGCCGCGUGCAGGAUGACGGUCCUAUGGAUUGUAAACUGCUUUUAUACGAGAAGAAACACUCCGACGUGUCGGAGCUUGACGGUAUCGUAAGAAUAAGGAUCGGCUAACUCCGUGCCAGCAGCCGCGGUAAUACGGAGGAUCCAAGCGUUAUCCGGAAUCAUUGGGUUUAAAGGGUCCGUAGGCGGUCAGGUAAGUCAGUGGUGAAAGCCCAUCGCUCAACGGUGGAACGGCCAUUGAUACUGUCUGACUUGAAUUAUUAGGAAGUAACUAGAAUAUGUAGUGUAGCGGUGAAAUGCUUAGAGAUUACAUGGAAUACCAAUUGCGAAGGCAGGUUACUACUAAUGGAUUGACGCUGAUGGACGAAAGCGUGGGUAG